UAUUGAGAAUCUUUCUUUUCUUUCUUUUUUUGUCUCUUGACACUCAGUUGUUCCGCUGCCAUUAGUUGGAAAAGACUAGUCUUUCUCUACUGAAUUCUCUUGGCACUUUUGUCAAAAGUAAGUUGACUAUCUUUGCAUGGGUCUACUGCUGGGCUCCCUGAGGCUGGUAUUUCCAUGUCCAGCAUCUUAUCUCGUCUACUCUCUGUCUCACAGAAGAAAUGCUUCUCUACCAGGUAAACAGUACUCUGUUUAUGACCUAGAAUACAUUAAUACCUGACUAGUGAAGAAGUUUUGGCAAAUCUAGAUUAGAACUCAUUUUCCCAUUGAUUGCAGGGUGACUUUUUUAUUUCAGAUUUUUUGAUCUUGCAGAAACCACGUGAGGCUCAGUGAGAGGUGUCAUAAAGGUUAAUGAGGGCCAUGGUUGGAAGAGGACCUGGGAUCUGCCUCGUCAGCACCCACAGAUGGGUACAAUUCCUUCAGUCUCAUUUUACGGUGAAAACAUUGAAGGGCAGUGGUGGUGAAGAUACCUAUGAGAAUAAGUUUCUUCCACUGGAUAGGACAAGCUGUCUCUCCAAUAUUCCCCGUUGGUGGACAAGAAUCCUUCAUUCAUACUUAAAACUAGCAGGUUACUGAGUUAAGAGAUUCCAUGUCAGACUGAUAGCCAAGACGGCACAUCACACACAUACCCUGGACAUUGAUCUGGAGGUGGUAACCAGAUGGGACCUUGUGUCAUCCGUCUUAGUGUCGGGUGAGUGGUGUGCUCUGUGAGUGAGAGGAAGAAUGAAGUGGAUAUUUGAUGUUUAGAAGGUCAGAUGCAACAAGAAACUCUUAGUGUUCACCAUUUUUGAGUCUUUUUUUGGGCACACAAGGUUACAUCUCCUAGUUGACUCUGCAGUUAGAUGGGCAAUGCAAUCCUAAGCUCUGAUCAGUGGAAUGUGAGCAGAAAUGAUGACUGUCAUGUCUAGGAAACGUUUAUUAAAACCCGGUGUGUCUUCUCUCCAUUUUCUUCCAGCUGAAUAGCUGGAGGCAAAGCAAUCCAAAAUGGAAGAGCACACAUUGGAAGAAAGCCAGAUUUCAGAGCUGUCAUUUGAAGUCAAGACACCCAGUGAAGGUGUCUAUCUAACCCACACCAUAUGCUCAUGAAGUGGCUACAUGGAUUUGAUCCCCAUCCUCUAGAGGAGCUCAGCCCCGAGGGAACCUGGGUAGUAGAUUAAGUGCAAGCAAACCAGGCAGAGCUUUAUGUGUCGGGACUAAGGGUGUGCAAGGGAUCCAAGGACAAGGGACAGAAAAAUCAACUGGGCUCAGCCCUGAGCAUCUUUGUGAGAAGGUACACUUGGUACACUUCAUCCAUCCCACGGUGAUGCUCCCAAAGCCUUCAUCAGCUUCCAGACCAGACUACACUGACAGCAGUUCUUAUUAAACUGAGCCACGCGAGGUAGGGAAAAUUCUUGGAAAUUGCUUGUGGAUGCCCAUACUGUGAUUAUUUGACUGGAGAAGCAUUCUCUUUUUUAACAAACCAGCAGUCGUAGGCUUUUCUUGGUUCCAGGUGAAGAGGUGACUUCCCUCUUUGAUUCAGUGUUCAUAAUUGGGCUGUCUGUUAGCCAAGAUGGUGAGAAAACAAUGCUAAUGAGGUCAGGGGUUCAAUGCCCACGUGGGUCAGUUAGCGAUUCUUUGUUCUUUAGCCAAAAGUCUAUAUCCUCUAACUGUGUCCAGCUACGAUAGUGACUGGGAGAGAGGGAGGGAAGGUGGAUGUCUCUCUGUAAUCUAAUUCUUCCUACUGUGGAAAACAACUCCAGGUUUAUAUCCUUGGGUCAGCAAAGUCAUCUUCAGGAAUGAAGGACUAUCCAUUAAGAAUAAGUGAAGAAACUAAAGGUAUGAUUCCUCAUGUUAAGGAGGCUGAGACUACAGCUCAGCGGUUACUCCCGGAGCAAAAAUAAUUAUUAUCCAUGUCCAAUUGUUAAUCUCUUGUGAGUCAAAUUUUCAAUGUUUUCUAGAUAUUUGUCUAGAAAGGAAUAAAAUGUAUUG